GAUGAAGAACGCAGCGAAAUGCGAUACGUAAUGUGAAUUGCAGAAUUCAGUGAAUCAUCGAAUCUUUGAACGCAUAUUGCGCCUUCUGGUAUCCCGGAGGGCAUGCUUGUUUGAGUAUCAGUAACAACCUCAACUCUUCUUCAUUGCGGAGAAAGAGUUGGAUUUGAGCAUUUCCACAAGUUCGUCUUGGAGGAUUGCUUGAAAUAUGAGGUUCGGCCGGCAGUUGCCUGGGCUACAAGCAUUUCAUACUUAAUCCCGUCAAACGGAUUAUAUCCUUUGCUGCAGCCAACAUACAGGGUAACUUUGCCAGUGUUCCGACUGAUGCAGGAAAGUUGAGAACAGCUUUUUGCUUUCUCUUCUAAACUCGAUCUCAAAUCAAGUAAGACUACCCGCUGAACUUAAGCAUAUCAAUAAGCGGAGGA
rnacentral:misc_RNA from 1 species